CCUGGGCUCCUCAGCAUGGACUGCUACAUUAGAGAGGCCUUCUUGAAAGGAGAAGAAACAGUGUCAUGUUGUUUUUGUCAGGCUUUAUGAAACAGAUCACAGUGAGAGGAAAAAACAACAUGGGAAUAAUUUGUCCUUUGAGUUGGAAGAUACAAUGAAUUAUACCACAAAUGAAAUAUAUUUCACAAGAGAUUCAAACAUUGCAGCCUGGCUGCUCAUACAGUGGAAUCACAGUGACAUUAAGGAGAGUGUGACUCACUUAAGGCAGCAAGUUGCCCCAAUAGCUCAAACCAAAUGGUCUCAUUUCUACACGGAAUUCCACCUGUGUUAGGUCCCACCACUGUGUGCUACCAUGUAUUUGCUGAUGGAUCAAGGAAUCAUUAGUUAUCACAGAUCCCAUCCAAUGUAAUCAAGCAGGGAGGUUAACCAGUUAACCUCUUACACCUUCCAUUGCCUCAUGCUUCUUUGUGAUUCUGAGCUUGAAAUCUGGAAUUGUUCUCUGGUAUCCUGCAGACUACAUAGAUCCCAAACU